CCUACGGGGGGCAGCAGUGGGGAAUAUUGCACAAUGGGCGCAAGCCUGAUGCAGCGACGCCGCGUGGGGGAUGAAGGCCUUCGGGUUGUAAACUCCUUUCGCCAGGGACGAAGCUUUUGUGACGGUACCUGGAGAAGAAGCACCGGCUAACUACGUGCCAGCAGCCGCGGUAAUACGUAGGGUGCGAGCGUUGUCCGGAUUUACUGGGCGUAAAGAGCUCGUAGGUGGUUUGUCGCGUCGUCUGUGAAAUCCCGGGGCUUAACUCCGGGCGUGCAGGCGAUACGGGCAUAACUUGAGUGCUGUAGGGGAGACUGGAAUUCCUGGUGUAGCGGUGAAAUGCGCAGAUAUCAGGAGGAACACCAAUGGCGAAGGCAGGUCUCUGGGCAGUAACUGACGCUGAGGAGCGAAAGCAUGGGUAGCGAACAGGAUUAGAUACCCUAGUAGUC
rnacentral:rRNA from 1 species